rnacentral:rRNA from 1 species
UACAGAGGGGGCAAGCGUUAUUCGGAAUUAUUGGGCGUAAAGGGCGCGUAGCGGCGAUUCAAUGGCGGGUGAAAUCCCCCGGCUCAACCGGGGAAUAGCGUCGGAUACUGGCGAGCUCGAGGUCGAUAGGGGGUAAGUGGAACUCCAGGUGGAGCGGUGGAAAUGCGUAGAUAUCUGGAGGAACACCGGUGGCGAAAGCGGCUUACUGGAUCG